rnacentral:rRNA from 1 species
CCCAGACUCCUACGGGAGGCAGCAGUGGGGAAUAUUGCACAAUGGGGGAAACCCUGAUGCAGCGACGCCGCGUGAAGGAAGAAGUAUUUCGGUAUGUAAACUUCUAUCAGCAGGGAAGAAAAUGACGGUACCUGACUAAGAAGCCCCGGCUAACUACGUGCCAGCAGCCGCGGUAAUACGUAGGGGGCAAGCGUUAUCCGGAUUUACUGGGUGUAAAGGGGGCGCAGACGGCAGCGCAAGCCAGGAGUGAAAGCCCGGGGCCCAACCCCGGGACUGCUCUUGGAACUGCGCGGCUGGAGUGCAGGAGGGGCAGGCGGAAUUCCUGGUGUAGCGGUGAAAUGCGUAGAUAUCAGGAGGAACACCGGUGGCGAAGGCGGCCCGCUGGACUGCGACUGACGUUGAGGCCCGAAAGCGUGGGGAGCAAACAGGAUUAGAUACCCUAGUAC